rnacentral:rRNA from 1 species
AGAUCGAACGAUGAUCCGGUGCUUGCGCCGGGGAUUAGUGGCGAACGGGUGAGUAACACGUGAGUAACCUGCCCUUAACUCUGGGAUAAGCCUGGGAAACUGGGUCUAAUACCGGAUAUGACUGAUCAUCGCAUGGUGGUUGGUGGAAAGCUUUUUUGUGGUUUUGGAUGGACUCGCGGCCUAUCAGCUUGUUGGUGAGGUAAUGGCUUACCAAGGCGACGACGGGUAGCCGGCCUGAGAGGGUGACCGGCCACACUGGGACUGAGACACGGCCCAGACUCCUACGGGAGGCAGCAGUGGGGAAUAUUGCACAAUGGGCGCAAGCCUGAUGCAGCGACGCCGCGUGAGGGAUGACGGCCUUCGGGUUGUAAACCUCUUUCAGUAGGGAAGAAGCGAAAGUGACGGUACCUGCAGAAGAAGCGCCGGCUAACUACGUGCCAGCAGCCGCGGUAAUACGUAGGGCGCAAGCGUUAUCCGGAAUUAUUGGGCGUAAAGAGCUCGUAGGCGGUUUGUCGCGUCUGCCGUGAAAGUCCGGGGCUCAACUCCGGAUCUGCGGUGGGUACGGGCAGACUAGAGUGAUGUAGGGGAGACUGGAAUUCCUGGUGUAGCGGUGAAAUGCGCAGAUAUCAGGAGGAACACCGAUGGCGAAGGCAGGUCUCUGGGCAUUAACUGACGCUGAGGAGCGAAAGCAUGGGGAGCGAACAGGAUUAGAUACCCUGGUAGUCCAUGCCGGUAAACGUUGGGCACUA